rnacentral:rRNA from 1 species
UACGAGAGGGUGCGAGCGUUAAUCGGAAUUACUGGGCGUAAAGCGUGCGUAGACGGUCAAGUAAGUCGGGUGUGAAAGCCCCGGGCUCAACCUGGGAAUUGCAUUCGAGACUGCGUGGCUAGGGUGCGGAAGAGGGAAGCGGGAAUUUCCGGUGUAGCGGUGAAAUGCGUAGAUAUCGGAAGGAACACCAGUGGCGAAAGCGGCUCCUGGUCCAGCACCGACGUCAGGCACGAAA